GACGGAGGGUGCAAGCGUUGUUCGGAAUCACUGGGCGUAAAGCGCGUGUAGGCGGUUUGAUAAGUCGAAUGUGAAAGCCCGAGGCCCAACCUCGGAAGUGCAUUCGAAACUGUCAGGCUUGAGUACGGGAGAGGGAAGUGGAAUUCCUGGUGUAGAGGUGAAAUUCGUAGAUAUCAGGAGGAACACCGGUGGCGAAGGCGGCUUCCUGGACCGAUUCUGACGCUGCGAUGCGAAAGCGUGGGGAGCACACAGG
rnacentral:rRNA from 1 species